UCUCAGUGUCGCGGUUGGUUGCGAUAAAGCCUCUGACGAAAAACCCGGGCCAAGUAGAGAGAGUAGGCCUACACGGCGUAUUUCAGCAGACACCUCCGAAUCAUCAGGUGAUGAAUUCAGCGAACCUGACCCGGAUUCGUCGGAUGAGUGGUUGCCGUCAACCGGGAACAGCAGAGCCUCAUCCCCUGACGCGUCUCCAGGAAGACGUGAGGGAGGUAAGAGUUAACUUUUCCCCUUCUCUCCUCCUUCAGUCGUCACAUGAAUGCAAUUUAGUCCCAGUAGUUUGUUACUGUAGCUAAUAUGUGUUGCCAGUAGCCUACUGAUACAAUGUUGCAAUUUACAGAUCGUGCGUCCAGCAGAGCUCGCACUCCCACUCCCCCUCCCCCUCCCACUGCUCCAAAUCCUGUUGGCAAAGCGAAGAAAGGUCGUGCAUCCAGCAGUGCUCCGACUCCUAUUGGCAUAGCGAAGAAGAAAGGUCGUGCAUCAAGCAGAGGUUGCGGGGAUGAGUGGCAUCAAGCUGGCUGGCAACCAAACAAUUUCCCCUUCACUGCAACCCCUGGACCCCGGAGGGCUGCUGCGGAGCUGGAUAGCGACCUGCCAGCUGACUUCCUGAUGCUCUUCCUGACGGACGAGCUGCUCCAAAAUAUUGUGGAUCAGACCAACCUAUACGCAAGUCAAUAUUUUGAAGCACACCCUGACAAUCUGCCAUAUAGCAGAGGACAUGCAUGGAAACCAGUGUCAGUCCCAGAAUUGAAAACUUUCUUUGGACUCAGUUUUCUCACUGGUUACAUCAAAAAGCCUAGCCUUGAAAUGUACUGGAGUGUUGAUGAGGUAGAUGCCACGCCCCAUUUCGGCAAGACUAUGCCAAGGAACAGAUUUCAGAUAAUAUGGAGGUUCCUUCAUUUCAACAAUAAUGCAUCACAGGAUGCAUCUGACAAAAUGUACAAAGUUCGCCCAGUGUUGGAUUACAUUGUGGAAAAGUUCAAGGAGAUGUAUCAACCAGGCCAAAACAUUUGCAU